GACAGAGGAUGCAAGCGUUAUCCGGAAUGAUUGGGCGUAAAGCGUCUGUAGGUGGCUUUUUAAGUCCGCCGUCAAAUCCCAGGGCUCAACCCUGGACAGGCGGUGGAAACUACCAAGCUGGAGUACGGUAGGGGCAGAGGGAAUUUCCGGUGGAGCGGUGAAAUGACGUAGAGAUCGGAAAGAACACCACGGCGAAAGCACUCGAUGCUGGGCCGACACUGACACUGAGAGACGAAAGCUAGGGGAGCGAAUGGGA
rnacentral:rRNA from 1 species